rnacentral:rRNA from 1 species
AUUGAACGCUGGCGGCAGGCCUAACACAUGCAAGUCGAACGAGUGGCGGACGGGUGAGUAAUGUGUGGGAAACUGCCUGAUGGAGGGGGAUAACUACUGGAAACGGUAGCUAAUACCGCAUACCAUCAGAUGUGCCCAUAGGGGAUUGGCUUGGUGGUGGGGUAACGGCUCCCACAGGCGACGAUCCCUAGAGGGUCUGAGAGGAUGACCGGCCACACUGGAACUGAGACACGGUCCAGACUCCUACGGGAGGCAGCAGGGGGGAAUAUUGCACAAUGGGCGCAAGCCUGAUGCAGCCAUGCCGCGUGUAUGAAGAAGGCCUUCGGUUUGUAAAGUACUUUCAGCGGGGAGGCGUUACCCGCAGAAGAAGCACCGGCUAACUCCGUGCCAGCAGCCGCGGUAAUAC